UACGGAGGGUGCAAGCGUUAUCCGGAUUCACUGGGUUUAAAGGGUGCGUAGGCGGGCAGGUAAGUCCGUGGUGAAAUCCCUCAGCUUAACUGGGGAACUGCGUCUGAUACUGGAUGGCUUGAGUUUGGGAGAGGGACGCGGAAUUCCAGGUGUAGCGGUGAAAUGCGUAGAUAUCGAGAGGAACACCGGUGGCGAAGGCGGCCUUCUGGACAGUGACUGACGCUGAGACGCGAAAGCGUGGGGAGCAAACAGG
rnacentral:rRNA from 1 species